AUUGAACGCUGGCGGCAGGCCUAACACAUGCAAGUCGAACGGUAACAGGAAGAAGCUUGCUUCUUUGCUGACGAGUGGCGGACGGGUGAGUAAUGUCUGGGAAACUGCCUGAUGGAGGGGGAUAACUACUGGAAACGGUAGCUAAUACCGCAUAACGUCGCAAGACCAAAGAGGGGGACCUUCGGGCCUCUUGCCAUCGGAUGUGCCCAGAUGGGAUUAGCUAGUAGGUGGGGUAACGGCUCACCUAGGCGACGAUCCCUAGCUGGUCUGAGAGGAUGACCAGCCACACUGGAACUGAGACACGGUCCAGACUCCUACGGGAGGCAGCAGUGGGGAAUAUUGCACAAUGGGUGCAAGCCUGAUGCAGCCAUGCCGCGUGUAUGAAGAAGGCCUUCGGGUUGUAAAGUACUUUCAGCGGGGAGGAAGGGAGUAAAGUUAAUACCUUUACUCAUUGACGUUACCCGCAGAAGAAGCACCGGCUAACUCCGUG
rnacentral:rRNA from 1 species